rnacentral:rRNA from 1 species
ACGGGAGGCAGCAGUGGGGAAUAUUGCACAAUGGGCGCAAGCCUGAUGCAGCCAUGCCGCGUGUGUGAAGAAGGCCUUCGGGUUGUAAAGCACUUUCAGUCGUGAGGAAGGURGUGUWGUUAAUAGCUGCAUYRUUUGACGUUAGCGACAGAAGAAGCACCGGCUAACUCCGUGCCAGCAGCCGCGGUAAUACGGAGGGUGCGAGCGUUAAUCGGAAUUACUGGGCGUAAAGCGCAUGCAGGUGGUUUGUUAAGUCAGAUGUGAAAGCCCGGGGCUCAACCUCGGAAUUGCAUUUGAAACUGGCAGACUAGAGUACUGUAGAGGGGGGUAGAAUUUCAGGUGUAGCGGUGAAAUGCGUAGAGAUCUGAAGGAAUACCGGUGGCGAAGGCGGCCCCCUGGACAGAUACUGACACUCAGAUGCGAAAGCGUGGGGAGCAAACAGGAUUAGAUACCCUGGUAGUCCACGCCGUAAACGAUGUCUACUUGGAGGUUGUGGCCUUGAGCCGUGGCUUUCGGAGCUAACGCGUUAAGUAGACCGCCUGGGGAGUACGGUCGCAAGAUUAAAACUCAAAUGAAUUGACGGGGGCCCGCACAAGCGGUGGAGCAUGUGGUUUAAUUCGAUGCAACGCGAAGAACCUUACCUACUCUU